rnacentral:rRNA from 1 species
GACAGCAGCAGCCGCGGUAAUACAGAGGGUGCGAGCGUUAAUCGGAUUUACUGGGCGUAAAGCGUGCGUAGGCGGCUUCUUAAGUCGGAUGUGAAAUCCCUGAGCUUAACUUAGGAAUUGCAUUCGAUACUGGGAAGCUAGAGUAUGGGAGAGGAUGGUAGAAUUCCAGGUGUAGCGGUGAAAUGCGUAGAGAUCUGGAGGAAUACCGAUGGCGAAGGCAGCCAUCUGGCCUAAUACUGACGCUGAGGUACGAAAGCAUGGGGAGCAAACAGGAUUAGAUACCCCGGUAGUCCCUGUCUCUUAUAC